GUGAGUAACACGUAGGUAAUCUGCCGUAGAGUGGGGGAUAACCCAUGGAAACAUGGACUAAUACCGCAUAUACUCUUGACGCUAAAGCGUAGUAGAGGAAAGGAGUAAUCCGCUUUACGAUGAGCCUGCGGCCUAUUAGCCUGUUGGUGAGAUAAAAGCCCACCAAAGCUACGAUAGGUAGCCGACCUGAGAGGGUGACCGGCCACAUUGGGACUGAGAUACGGCCCAGACUCCUACGGGAGGCAGCAGCUGAGAAUCUUCCACAAUGGACGAAAGUCUGAUGGAGCGACAUCGCGUGAGGGAUGAAGGCCUUCGGGUUGUAAACCUUGGAAAUUAUCGAAGAAUGAGUGACAGUAGAUAAUGUAAGCCUCGGCUAACUACGUGCCAGCAGCCGCGGUAAUACGUAGGAGGCAAACGUUGCUCGGAUUUACUGGGCGUAAAGGGUGAGUAGGCGGAACUAUAAGUCUAAGGUGAAAUAUCGAAGCUCAACUUCGGAGACGCCUCGGAUACUGUGGUU
rnacentral:rRNA from 1 species